rnacentral:rRNA from 1 species
GACGGAGGAUGCAAGCGUUAUCCGGAAUUAUUGGGCGUAAAGCGUCCGCAGGCGGCUGUUCAAGUCUGCUGUCAAAGCGCAGAGCUUAACUCUGUACAGGCGGUGGAAACUGAAGAGCUAGAGUAUGGUAGAGGUAGAGGGAAUUCCCGGUGUAGCGGUGAAAUGCGUAGAUAUCGGGAAGAACACCAGUGGCGAAGGCGGCAUCCUGGACCGGCACUGACGCUGAGGAGCGAAAGCCAGGGGAGCAAACAGG